rnacentral:rRNA from 1 species
CCUACGGGAUGCUGCAGUGAGGAAUAUUGGUCAAUGGGCGGGAGCCUGAACCAGCCAAGUCGCGUGAGGGAAGACGGUCCUAUGGAUUGUAAACCUCUUUAGGCGGGGAGCAAUGCCGGGCACGUGUGCCCGGAGGGAGAGUACCCGCAGAAUAAGCAUCGGCUAACUCCGUGCCAGCAGCCGCGGUAAUACGGAGGAUGCGAGCGUUAUCCGGAUUGAUUGGGUUUAAAGGGUGCGUAGGCGGAUUUUUAAGUCAGCGGUAAAAUGUCCGGGCUCAACCCGGGCCGGCCGUUGAAACUGGGGAUCUUGAGUGGGCGAGAAGUAUGCGGAAUGCGUGGUGUAGCGGUGAAAUGCAUAGAUAUCACGCAGAACUCCGAUUGCGAAGGCAGCAUACCGGCGCCCGACUGACGCUGAGGCACGAAAGCGUGGGGAUCGAACAGGAUUAGAUACCCGGGUAGUC